rnacentral:rRNA from 1 species
CCUGGUUGAUUCCUGCAGUAGUCUAUUGCUUGUCUCAAAGAUUAAGCCAAUGCACUGUCAAAGUAUGAACUAACUCUCGAACUGUUCGAAACUGCGAAUGGCUCAUUUAAAUCACAGUAUAGGUUUGUUUGAUGGUACGUGCUCACAUCGGUAACCGUUGUGUAAGUAAUUCUAGAGCUAAUUACGUGCAACAAACCCCGACUUCUGGGAGGGGCGCCAUUUAUUAGAAUUAAAAAGCUGAACGCGGGCUCUGCUCGCUGAUCCGAUGAAUUCCCAUGAUAACUCGACGGAUCGCACGGCCUUUUGCCGGCGACGCAUCAUAUUCAAAUUUCUGCCCCUAUCAAAACUUUUCGAUGGUAGGAUUAGGGGUACCUACCAUCGUGGUGACGACGUGACGGGAGAAUUAGGGUUCAGAUUCCGGAGAGGGAGCCUGAGAAACGCUACACAUUCAAGGAAGGCAGCCAGGCGCGCAAAAUUACCCAUCCUGACACGGGAGGGAUAUGACCAAUAAUAACAAAUACCGGGCGCAGUAUCAGGCUCUGGUUAAAUUGGAACUGAGUAGCAAUCUAAAUCCACCUUUAACGAGGAAUCCAUUGGAGGGCACGUCUGGUGCCAGCAGCCGCCGGGAAUUCCAGCUCCAAUAAGCGUAUAUUAUAAGUUAGUAUGCCAGUAAAAAGCUCGUAGUUGGACCUUGGGCCGGGCUCGGCCCGUCCGCACUACCGCGAAGAACCGACCUACUCGCAACCCUACUGCCGGCGAUGCGCUCCUGGGCCUUUAAAUUGGCCGGCGGGUCGUGCCACUCCGGCGCCGUACUUUGAAAGAAAGAAUUAGAGUGCUCAAAGCAAGCCAUCGCUCUGGAUAACAUUAGCUGGGAUAACAUCAUAGGAUUCCGGUCCUAUUGUGUUGGCUAUCGGGAUCGGAUAAUGAUUAAUUAGGGACAGUCCGGAGCAUUCGUACUUUCAUAGUCAGAGGUGAAUUCUUGGAUUAUGAAGAAACGGCAACAAGCGAAAAGCAUUUGCCAAGGAUGUUUUUCAAUUUAAUCAAGAACGAAAGUUGGAUGCGGCUCAGAAGAAACGAUCAGAUUACCGUCCUAGUCUCAACCAUAAACGAUGCCGACCAGGGGAAUCGGCGGAUGUUGCUUAUAGGACCUCCGCCGGCACCUUAUGAGAAAUCAAAGUCUUUAGGGUUCCGGGGGAAAGUAAUGGGUCGCAAGCUGAAACUUAAAGGAAUUGACGGAAGGGCACCACCAGGCGUGGAGCCUGCGGCUUAAUUUGACUCAACACGGGAAACUUACCAGGUCACAACAUAAGCAACGGAUUGACAGACUGAAGAGUCUUUUGUCUUGAUUCUAUGGGUGAUCUCUCUACCGAACACGGCUUCUGCACGAGGCAUCCGUCGGGCCGGCUGUCAUUUUUUCGAAGGUACCGAGUUUGGAAGGAAUGGGGCGCCGAGGCAGCCUCAUCCUACAUCGUGAGCUCCACCCGAGACCAAGAGCAAAAGCGAGGUGGCCUUGGUGGUUGAAGCCGUUUUGGUCUUACCACGAGGCGACGCCGCAGGUGCUCUAGAGCCGAUGCGUCACACCCGAAAGGUGGACAC